AUUGAACGCUGGCGGCAGGCCUAACACAUGCAAGUCGAGCGAGUGGCGGACGGGUGAGAAAUGUGUGGGAAUCUGCCCGAUAGAGGGGGAUAACCACUGGAAACGGUGGCUAAUACCGCAAACUAUCAGGUGAACCCAUAUGGGAUUAGCUUGUAGGUGGGGUAAAGGCUCACCUAGGCGACGAUCUCUAGCUGGUCUGAGAGGAUGAACAGCCACACUGGAACUGAGAAACGGCCCAGACUCCUACGGGAGGCAGCAUUGGGGAAUAUUGCACAAUGGGCGCAAGCCUGAUGCAGCAAUGCCGCGUGUAUGAAGAAGGCCUUAGGGUUGUAAAGUACUUUCAGCGGGGAGGCGUUACCCGCAGAAGAAGCACCGGCUAACUCCGUGCCAGCAGCCGCGGUAAUAC
rnacentral:rRNA from 1 species